CGGCCGGCGCACUCAGCUUUGCCGUUCUGAGCCCCGCCUUUCACACUGACCGCACGCCCUCGGCUAGGCGCCGGCGGGAAAAACCCCGCUGGUGCAGACCUGUCCUGCAGCCGCGGCACUUACCGCCCCCAACUACUACUCCUCCCGGGACAGGCUCUGCAGCUGCCAGCCUGGGCUCUGACUGGGCCUCGCUACGAAGGGACCAGAGGGUCUUUCUCCAGCCACAUCCAGAAUCCCUAGAACCUUCCUGGACCUAGAGAAUGGUGAAUUAUGGCCCCAGUUCAUGGAAUGCUGGUUCGAGAUGCUGCGCUAAUAACUUUCUUGCCCACAAAAAUCGUCCCCCCACACUGGGCGAGGCUGCAGAGACCUGGUCAGAAUUUCUCCAGACACAGCGUGAGUGGCAUUGAUGUCACUUCUGUUGCCUCUGUGGGGUUUGGGCCAUGGCAUCUGCAUUUCCCAGUGUUGAGCUGGGGAAGCACACGGCAGGUGCUCUCGCCAGCUGCAAGGUGGGUGAGAGAGGUUGCUGCCCAGGACGGCGUAUGAGAGGACUUUCAAUGGGCUGGCCCAGGUCCACUCUUCACCCUUCCCCAUCCUACUCUGUGGACUCCAUUGCCCGGUCCCCUUGCCAUCUGGCUUUUGUUGGGCUUGGCCAAUGGGAAGCGCUCACUGGGAUCGGAGGAUGGAGGGGAGAGGGGUUGAGGGAGUAUUUAUUCACCUGUCAGGGUGGCUUCAGGUUGGCCGCCAUCCUCUACUGAAGUCGCCAGCUCCUGUCACAGUCCCUCGCCUGUACUGCUCUCCCUGCUCCUUCCCCCAGGCCCGGGAUGGUAACCGCUCCUCCACGUGCCAGCUAGUCCCAGGGCACCACGCCGUCUACACUGGUUCCUUUAAAAGUAUCGACACAUCUGAACAGCAUCCGUGUGCUGACCUCCCCUCUGUCAUCCUGCUUGACUGUGCCUCUUGCUCUCCACCAAGACCCCACCUGCUGCGGAAGUGGCCCUACCACUUCCCGCACACUCUCUAAUGGAGACGAUGUGCGUGUGUUUUAGAGGGGCACCCAGAUGCUCUACCAGAAAACAAAAAUCACUGAUUUUCCAGUUCAGUCUUCCAGUUAGCACAGCUGGCCAGCCUCAGAGGAAUUCCCUCUCUGCAUCCCAAACAGCUGAAUGAGUCCUGCUUCCUCACUAGGCUCCGGUGCCAGCUCAUCUCGGUUCCCCCGCAGCCUCAGGCCUCUGCCUGCAGCCCACCCCAUGCUUCCUGCCUGUGAGCUUCCUGGCCCUCGUUCAGGUGCACACUUUCCUUCUGAGAAAUACUCGCCCUGCAGCCGAGCACUUCCCAGGCCAGUUUCAGGCGGUAAGAAGGAUUUUUCUGACCAUGAUUUUUUUCUGGUGUUAACCACACUCCGGCAGGCUAGGGCCUGAGCUGAUUAAUCAGAGGACUGGACUGAUUAACGGGGCAGUGUUUCCACUCCCACUCAGGGCGACCCACUGCUCUCAGAUCGGACGUGACUAAUGAGGACGGGAAGGCAGGAAAUUCCCGGGCUGGUGGAAGGGCAGCUGAAGCCCAGGUACAGUGUGAGCGCACACACCUGGAGAGCUGGGGAGGCCUUCAGGCUGGGCUUGCUCAGGCUGAGGCAGCUGGGCGGGGAGGUGACAUCUGAAUGUCUAGGCUUGAGUCCCAAAUCUGCUGCUUUCUGGUUGUUAGAGUUCUGGCGAAUUAUGUAGUGUCCCUGAGCCUCAGCUUCUUCUUCUUUCAAAUGGGGUUAAUAAUGGCCCUGGCUGGUGUGGCUCAGUGGAUUGGUUGCUGGCCUACAAACCAAGAGGUCACUGGUUCGGUUCCCAGUCAGGACACAUGCCUGGACUGCAGGCCAGGCCCCCAGUUGGGGGCAUGCUAGAGACAGCCAAUUGAUGUAUCUCUUGCACAUCCAUGUUUCUCUCCCUUUUUUCUUCCCUUCCCUUCACUCUAAAAUAAAUAAUGAAAUCUUUUAAGAACAGUGCGAGGUUAAUAAGGAAGAUCAGUUGAAGGAUGAGACAUAAGGGUGCUCUCAGGAAAACAGGUUGGCACAGAAGCCAGGAGUGCAGCCUCGGAGGUGCCAGGGGAGCCAGUUGAGCUGGGAAGGUACAAAGGGGGGCUUGGCCGACCAAGGCGGGGUGGCGGGGCCCAGGCUGGGGCUGCUCAGCCAGCCUUGACCAGCCUCUGCCCUCGUCUCCUGCUUAUGGACAAUGGAUGGGGUCCCGGCUCUUUACACUGGCUGGGCGACUUCGGAAAGUUAUGACCUCUCCGUGCCUUAGUUUCCUUAUCUGUGGAAUUGGGAAUAACAUCUCACAGUAGUCAGUGAGUUAAUAAGUAUUUUUAAAAACUUCUUAGAACUGUUCUAGGCAGCGCUCAGCAAAUGCUGGGGUAGCCUCUUCACCCCCGGCCUGUGCAAGGCUUGUGUGUGCCCCCGGCUCCGGUAUACAGGCUUGCGUGAGGCCGAGCUGGGGCGUGGGGUUUAUUUUCUUCAACGUGCUGCUAAAUUUGCUGCUAAGGGGCUCCCGUUUCCCUGGUGUGUGGAUGCUGGUGGAGGACAGAGGCGAAAUGAGUGGCGUCCAGCAUCCAGGAGCUCCUCCAGGUGUGCCUGCCCGGAGCCCCCAGAGAGAACCAUUCCCAGCUCCCUGCGGUCCCCCUGGAUGAGCGUGGGUGCCUCGCACAGGGGUGGGUGGUAGGGUGGACUGGCGAGGACUGUGGGACCCAGACUGGGGCCUCGUCCAGAAAUGCUGGGAAAUCCCUGCGGGCUGGGUUCAGGCCUUGCCCCCCCCCCCCGGCUCCCAGGCUGUGAGCUAGUGCCUUGGGGGUGGUAAUGGUGCUGGAAAGGUGGCAUAGCCUUGAACUGCAGACUGCCCGGGUUCACAUCCCAGCUCUGCCAUCUGCCAACCGACCUCGCCUCUCAGCGCCCCACCUGUAACGUGAGGAGGGCAGCGGGGCCCUGCCUCCUGGGGUGCUGGGUAGUGAGCUCAGAGCAGUUCCUGGCCCCGAGGGGGUGCUCGGUGGAUGCCAGCUGUUGUUAAUGUGCCGCCAGCCACGGCGCCCUCUGACUACCAGGGAGAGACAGCUAUUGUGACAACUGUUGUGACAGCCAGAGUAACGAUCCCUUCAAAGAUGUCCAUGCAUCCUAACCUGCACCUGUGAAUGUGUUGCCUUACAAGGCAAAAGGGACUUUGCAGAUGUGGUAGGUGAAGGAGAUUAACCUGCACAGCCGAAAGGGAGAGCACUGAGGGAUGCAGGGUGGGAAAGGGGCGACCAGCCACUGUUGGCUCUGAAGAUGGGGGUUGGCCACAAGCCAGGAAAGGUGGGCAGCCUCUGGAAGCUGGGAAGGCAGUGGGUUCUGUCCUCCAGCCUCCACGAAAGACUCAGCCGUGCCAACACCCCGAGACCCACUUCUGGCCUCCAGAACUGUAAGGAGCCCUGACUGGUAAUGGAACCUGUGACCUUGUUGGUGUAGGAGGCGAUGCUGCAACUAACUGAGCCACCCGGCCAGGGCCUACAUUUGUAUUGUUUUAAGCCACCAAGUUUACGGGAAUUUGUUACAACCACCAAAGGGAACUCGUACAGCUGCCAAGACCCAACACGGCUGCAUCCUUGAAGGAAGAACCACAGUGAGUCACCACAGCAGGGACAGAGGCACGGUUGUGCCGCCCGCGCUGCUUGCCCCUCGAGGUGAAGAAACAGCCUGGCCAAGGAACUGAACGUCCCCUGGCCGCAGGCCAGAGAUGGACUGUUCAGGGCAGGAGAGCUCAGGGCCGGCUCUGUUGGCUGACGAAAGGCCUCCUGGAGGGGCUGGACCCUUGGCAGGGCCUGGAAGGAUGGAGAGUAUGGGGUUUGGACCAGGAGGAGGAGGAGGAAGGAAAGGCUCUGUGGGAAGGGACCCAGCUAUUCAUGCAUCUGCUCAUCCAGCUCCUGGCUCCAGGCCCUGGGGAUGGGGACCUGGAUGGUGAAUUGAGCGAGACAGACCUGGUGGCUGUUCUUACGGAGUUUAGGCUCUGUGGUGGAAGCCAAUAUGCCAUUACAGUAAAACACAAGACGUGUGACAGCAGGAGUGCAGCUUGUUAAGGGAAGCACAGCUGGAUGGGCUUCCUGGAGGAAGCGACCCUUCAGCUGAUGCAGGGUAAACUGACGCUUUGUUUUGUAUUGCUUUGGGCUCUGUGUGGUACCCUGCACUCGGCAGGUGCUGACUGAUGGGAGUUUAGCCAUAUGGCUUGUUAUUCCCAGUCUAAUUCCUUCUUAAUCCGUCUUGUUACACUAAGGAGAACACUCAGUUGGACACUUGUCCGUUUUGAGUGCGACUUUAAUUCUCGCUAAUCUCCCUUUGUAACAGGUAUUAAUUAUAAUUUAAUAACGCUG